rnacentral:rRNA from 1 species
UCGAGAAUUUUUCACAAUGGGCGCAAGCCUGAUGGAGCGACGCCGCGUGGGGGAUGAAGGGCUUCGGCUCGUAAACCCCUGUCAUUUGCGAACAAACCCUCCCAUUGAACAGGUGGGAGGCUGAUUGUAGCGAAAGAGGAAGGGACGGCUAACUCUGUGCCAGCAGCCGCGGUAAUACAGAGGUCCCGAGCGUUGUUCGGAUUCACUGGGCGUAAAGGGUGCGUAGGUGGUGGGGUAAGUCUGAUGUGAAAUCUCCAGGCUCAACCUGGAAAUGGCAUUGGAAACUACCCUGCUGGAGGGUUGGAGGGGGGACUGGAAUACUUGGUGUAGCAGUGAAAUGCGUAGAUAUCAAGUGGAACACCAGUGGCGAAGGCGAGUCCCUGGACAACACCUGACACUGAGGCACGAAAGCCAGGGGAGCAAACAG